rnacentral:rRNA from 1 species
GAUGAACGCUGGCGGCGUGCCUAAUACAUGCAAGUCGAGCGAACGGACGAGAAGCUUGCUUCUCUGAUGUUAGCGGCGGACGGGUGAGUAACACGUGGAUAACCUACCUCUAAGACUGGGAUAACUUCGGGAAACCGGAGCUAAUACCGGAUAAUAUUUUGAACCGCAUGGUUCAAAAGUGAAAGACGGUCUUGCUGUCACUUAUAGAUGGAUCCGCGCUGCAUUAGCUAGUUGGUAAGGUAACGGCUUACCAAGGCAACGAUGCAUAGCCGACCUGAGAGGGUGAUCGGCCACACUGGAACUGAGACACGGUCCAGACUCCUACGGGAGGCAGCAGUAGGGAAUCUUCCGCAAUGGGCGAAAGCCUGACGGAGCAACGCCGCGUGAGUGAUGAAGGUCUUCGGAUCGUAAAACUCUGUUAUUAGGGAAGAACAUAUGUGUAAGUAACUGUGCACAUCUUGACGGUACCUAAUCAGAAAGCCACGGCUAACUACGUG